rnacentral:rRNA from 1 species
CCUACGGGAGGCAGCAGUGAGGAAUAUUGGUCAAUGGCCGGAAGGCUGAACCAGCCAAGCCGCGUGAAGGACGAAGGUGCCAAGCAUUGUAAACUUCUUUUGUCAAGGGACAAAAUCAGGCUCGAGAGCCUGACCGUGGGUACUUGAAGAAAAAGCAUCGGCUAACUCCGUGCCAGCGGCCGCGGUAAUACGGAGGAUGGAGGCGUUAGCGGGAUUUAUUGGGUUAAAGGUGUCCGUAGGCGAAAUGUUAAGUCAGCGGUAAAAGCCCGGGGCUCACCUCCGGCGAGCCGUUGAAACUGGCUGUCUUGAGAUGUCGAGAGGUAUGCGGAAUGCGCAGUGUAGCGGUGAAAUGCUUAGAUAUUGCGCAGAACUCCGAUUGCGAAGGCAGCAUACCGGCGGCGAUCUGACGCUGAGGCACGAAAGCGUGGGUAUCGAACAGGAUUAGAUACCCCUGUAGUC